rnacentral:rRNA from 1 species
GACGAACGCUGGCGGCGUGCCUAAUACAUGCAAGUCGAGCGGACUUUCAAGAAGCUUGCUUUUUGAAUGUUAGCGGCGGACGGGUGAGUAACACGUGGGCAACCUGCCUGCAAGACGGGGAUAACUUCGGGAAACCGGGGCUAAUACCGGAUAAUAUCUUCCUUCGCAUGAAGCAAGGUUGAAAGGCGGCGCAAGCUGCCGCUUGCAGUUGGGCCCGCGUGCCUUUAGUUAUUUGGUGAGGUAACGGCUCACCAAGGCACCGAAGCGUAGCCGCCCCGGGGGGGGGACGGGCAAACUGGGACCGGAGCACGGCCCAGGAUCCUUCGGGAGGCAGCAGGAGGGAAUCUUCCGCAAUGGACGAAAGUCUGACGGAGCAACGCCGCGUGGGCGAAGAAGGUCUUCGGAUCGUAAAGCUCUGUUGACAGGGAAGAACAAGUACCGUUCGAACAGGGCGGUACCUUGACGGUACCUGACCAGAAAGCCACGGCUAACUACGUG